AGUUUACCUAUCGGCAUCCAUGGUUUGCCUGCACCAAAACCACAUUCACUUCCAUUACAUUAUGCUGUCAUGCAGUGACGUAACUAGUUUACUCUGUACGUAUCUACCAGGCAAUCAGAAGCAGGGGCAUAUCUACGAUUCCCAACAAAGUGCCCCUGGGACUUUUUCAAACUUGAUAUUUUCCAAAAUCCAGAGAUAUUUACAACCUUUUAACAUUGCAUUCACUGAAUAAUAUAAAACAAAGUUUAUAAAUCAGUAAAACAUUGCAUUCGAUGAAUAAUGUAAAACAAAGUUUAUAAAUCAGUUUAACAUUGCAUCCA